CCUUCACGAAAUUAACCUAGCCUCUCCACCAAAACUCCAAAACUCAUCUCCGCCGAAACCAACCUUCACCCCUCCAUCCAUCGACCAACUCCCACGUCUCCACCGUCAGCCGGCCAGCCACCAUCCCUCAUUCUGUCUUCUCCAAUCAAGCAGAGACCCAACAUCAUCUUCUCGACGCCAACAUAAGUUGUUGUCUUCUUCUCUAUCUUCCUCCUUUCCUACAUCCGGCCAACCACCUCCUCUCUAUCACCGCCGGUGGAGCUACUUACUCUCAUCUCUCCUGUUCAGGUUAGAAGAGGAGAGGCCAUAACUUCCUUUCAGCAACCACCGCUCUUCCAUCCAUCAUCCGAAAACUUCUACUUAGGUUAGAGGAGGAACUGAAGCCUUCCCCUUUCUCUCUUCGGGUUAGAAUAGAGGAAGCUCCACUCCUACUUCCGGUAAUCCCCUCUUUCACUGACUCUUCUCUUCCUCAUCAAGCUCUGGAUUCAUUUCCACCACAUCACCACCUCUCCUCUUCUGGGUUAGGAAGAGGAAAGCUUUAUACCUACCACCGACAGCCCCCAUUCCCUCUCCACUUCCGGUUAGAAGUGGAGAGUUCAUUUCCUCCACUCCGGCAGCCCUUCAUCGUCUCCAAACAGCUUGCUCCACUCUGGCAGCCCUCCAUAUUCCAUCUUCUGGUUAGAAGAGGGGAAGAUGUCACUUCUAGACAACCACUACAUCUGAAGGGACCACUAGGAAAAACACCAAAUUACCCAUUUCAACUGAUGCUCAAUUGAGAACAAUGCGAAAGGGAUCUGACGACCAUCUUGUUCUAAACAUCGAGUCUGGGUCUGAUCAUUCAAUUGCAGCAAAGUCUGAUGCUAAAGGGUUUCCAGGGGCCAUCUUCUGAUGCACCGGCCUAGUGCAAGGCUAGGUCUCAUGGCGUAUAUGAUCUUCAUGCAUCUAUGGUUGCUAGGAGUCAUAUUAUGAUAUGACCAAUAAAUUUAGAUAUGCAGUGGUAGGUGUUUUGUCCCAGUCUCAAGCCGACAAUUCUUUUUGAGUGUAACUAGUAGAAGUCUAGUGAAAAUACUGAAGAAGUAUGACAAGAGAACAGGAGCACUUAUCAGGCAGCCCUUCAUCGAAAAGGUGCCGCAGCAGCCAUUCUUUACAACUGAUCUCCUAUACAAACUCGUGAAGGAGUGUGUGGCUAUGCUCGACCACCUCUUCCCCAGCAACAACCUGUCAAUUUUAGCAUAAUGCGACGGACAAAAUGGAGUGCCAAAGCCGGCAUAAUCAGGUGGGAGGGUUCCGGAGUUGGAGGAGAUUAAAUAUAUGCAGAGC